AUGAACGGCAGGGAAGCUCCGCCAUCGUGGUCCACUCAUCGGCACGCCGUGGGCGGCCUCAUUGUCCCCUCCGGUUUUGACAUCGCUGCGUCCAGCUCCGAGAGCCGCCGUUCCCCCGUGGUCAACAUUACCCGCGUCCUCAAUGAGGAGGCCUCGGGGCCGACGAGCGCGGCGUCGGCAUCACCAUCUUCGUCCCCACCGACGACGCCUUGGCGGGCCUACCGACCACCUCCAGUCCCUCCCUGCCGACCGCAAGGCUGUCGUGCUGCGCUUCCACGUGCUCUGCACUCCUACUACCCGCUCGGCUCCCUCGAGUCCAUCGUGAACCCCGUCCAUCCCACGCUCGCCAUCGAGUGCACUGAGGCCGGCCGCUUCACGCUCAACUCACACGAUUCAGAACUGUGUAUAUGCUGUGUGUAUGCACUAUUGUACAGUGCUGCGUGUGCGCAUUGA
rnacentral:rRNA from 1 species